UACGUAGGGAGCAAGCGUUGUCCGGAAUCAUUGGGCGUAAAGCGCGCGUAGGUGGCUUCGUAAGUCCGUUGUGAAAGUCAAAGGCUCAACCUUUGAAAGCCGAUGGAUACUGCUGAGCUAGAGUACGGAAGAGGCGAGUGGAAUUCCUGGUGUAGCGGUGGAAUGCGCAGAUAUCAGGAGGAACACCAAUAGCGAAGGCAGCUCGCUGGGACGUUACUGACACUAAGGCGCGAAAGCGUGGGGAGCGAACAGG
rnacentral:rRNA from 1 species